rnacentral:rRNA from 1 species
ACGGAGGGUGCAAGCGUUAUCCGGAAUCAUUGGGUUUAAAGGGUCCGUAGGCGGUUUAAUAAGUCAGUGGUGAAAGCCCAUCGCUCAACGGUGGAACGGCCAUUGAUACUGUUAAACUUGAAUUAUUAGGAAGUAACUAGAAUAUGUAGUGUAGCGGUGAAAUGCUUAGAGAUUACAUGGAAUACCAAUUGCGAAGGCAGGUUACUACUAAUGGAUUGACGCUGAUGGACGAAAGCGUGGGUAGCGAACAGGAUUAGAUACCCUGGUAGUCCACGCCGUAAACGAUGGAUACUAGCUGUUGGGAGCAAUCUCAGUGGCUAAGCGAAAGUGAUAAGUAUCCCACCUGGGGAGUACGUUCGCAAGAAUG